GCGGGGGUAGCAAAGCUCGGUUAAGGACUAAAAACAGUUGCCGUUUUGCAUGCAACUGUUUCAGCCGACUACAUGCGCAGGCUUGAGGGGUCUGUGGCUUAGUGCCUUCGUGAGUUCAAAUCUCACCCCCCGCA
rnacentral:tRNA from 1 species